rnacentral:rRNA from 1 species
GACGAACGCUGGCGGCGUGCCUAAUACAUGCAAGUAGAACGCUGAAGGAGGAGCUUGCUUCUCCGGAUGAGUUGCGAACGGGUGAGUAACGCGUAGGUAACCUGCCUGGUAGCGGGGGAUAACUAUUGGAAACGAUAGUUAAUACCGCAUAACAGUAGAUAUUGCAUGAUAUCUGCUUGAAAGGUGCAAUUGCAUCACUACCAGAUGGACCUGCGUUGUAUUAGCUAGUUGGUGAGGUAACGGCUCACCAAGGCGACGAUACAUAGCCGACCUGAGAGGGUGAUCGGCCACACUGGGACUGAGACACGGCCCAGACUCCUACGGGAGGCAGCAGUAGGGAAUCUUCGGCAAUAGACGGAAGUCUGACCGAGCAACGCCGCGUGAGUGAAGAAGGUUUUCGGAUCGUAAAGCUCUGUUGUAAGAGAAGAACGAGUGUGAGAGUGGAAAGUUCACACUGUGACGGUAUCUUACCAGAAAGGGACGGCUAACUACGUG